GAUGAACGCUGGCGGCGUGCCUAAUACAUGCAAGUCGAGCGAACAGACGAGGAGCUUGCUCCUCUGACGUUAGCGGCGGACGGGUGAGUAACACGUGGAUAACCUACCUAUAAGACUGGGAUAACUUCGGGAAACCGGAGCUAAUACCGGAUAAUAUAUUGAACCGCAUGGUUCAAUAGUGAAAGACGGUUUUGCUGUCACUUAUAGAUGGAUCCGCGCCGCAUUAGCUAGUUGGUAAGGUAACGGCUUACCAAGGCAACGAUGCGUAGCCGACCUGAGAGGGUGAUCGGCCACACUGGAACUGAGACACGGUCCAGACUCCUACGGGAGGCAGCAGUAGGGAAUCUUCCGCAAUGGGCGAAAGCCUGACGGAGUAACGCCGCGUGAGUGAUGAAGGUCUUCGGAUCGUAAAACUCUGUUAUUAGGGAAGAACAAAUGUGUAAGUAACUAUGCACGUCUUGAUGGUACCUAAUCAGAAAGCCACGGCUAACUACGUG
rnacentral:rRNA from 1 species